rnacentral:rRNA from 1 species
GAUGAACGCUGGCGGCGUGCUUAACACAUGCAAGUCGAACGAUUGAAGCUGGAGCUUGCUCCGGCCGAUUUAGUGGCGGACGGGUGAGUAACGCGUGGGUAACCUGCCUCAUACAGGGGGAUAGCAGUUGGAAACGACUGGUAAAACCGCAUAAGCGCACGGUAUCGCAUGAUACAGUGUGAAAACACUCCGGUGGUAUGAGAUGGACCCGCGUCUGAUUAGCUAGUUGGUGAGGUAACGGCCCACCAAGGCGACGAUCAGUAGCCGGCCUGAGAGGGUGAACGGCCACAUUGGGACUGAGACACGGCCCAAACUCCUACGGGAGGCAGCAGUGGGGAAUAUUGCACAAUGGGGGAAACCCUGAUGCAGCGACGCCGCGUGAGUGAUGAAGUAUUUCGGUAUGUAAAGCUCUAUCAGCAGGGAAGAUAAUGACG